rnacentral:rRNA from 1 species
GCAAGUCGAGCGCACCCUUCGGGGCGAGCGGCGGACGGGUUAGUAACGCGUGGGAAUGUACCCAGAUCUAAGGAAUAGCCUCGGGAAACUGAGAGUAAUACCUUAUACGCCCUUCGGGGGAAAGAUUUAUCGGAUUUGGAUCAGCCCGCGUUAGAUUAGAUAGUUGGUGGGGUAAUGGCCUACCAAGACUAUGAUCAAUAGCUGAUUUGAGAGGAUGAUC